UACGUAGGUGGCAAGCGUUAUCCGGAGUUACUGGGCGUAAAGGGCGUGUAGGCGGAGAUGUAAGUCUAUUCUGAAAGCUCCUGGCUAAACUGGGAGAGGCGAAUGGAGACUGCAUAUCUAGAGUGAGGAAGAGGAAAGUGGAAUUCCGCGUGUAGUGGUGAAAUGCGUAGAGAUGCGGAGGAACACCAGUGGCGAAAAGCGACUUUCUGGUCCUUAACUGACGCUGAGGCGCGAAAAGCAUGGGGGAGCGAACGGGG
rnacentral:rRNA from 1 species